rnacentral:lncRNA from 10 species
AAUGAAACCUCUUUUCCAUCCAGAAGCACUGCUGACUGUUUGGUGGUUGCUGUUAGGGCAGUGAGCCUUUUGUCCAUUCUGAGAUUAGGCUGGUUUCUCCUCUUGGCCCUGGCCUACAGACCAUAAAGGAAAACAGCAAGAGGUCCCCAGCAAACAUCUACAGAUGGCCCUGGACAUCAGCCACAUUCAGAGAAACGUGUCAUGUUCUGGGAGGGCUAAGGCAUCGAGAAUCCCAGUGAAUAUAUUGCCACCAUCUUGGAGCUCAGUGCCCUCAUAGUGUAACAGCACCAGCAGAUCUGCCUGUGCACAGACUUCCUGUACUACCUCACUCCUGAGGGGAGAUGCUUCUGCAGGGCCUGCGACCUGGUGCACAACUUUAGACACCAUCAUCCUGGAGCGGCACUGCACCCUCACUAGCCAGGGUGUUGAUGACUUCCUCAAUGCCAAGGCCACGUUCAAGAUUUUCGACUUCAGUGAUGCGUUUGUGCUGAGCAAGCCAAGAGACCCAAGCCUGCCUUGCUGCCACUUAGGAUAUGACAGCACAGCCAGUGGCCUCUACUGGAUCCUGGUACCCCUCAGAAGACACCCAGACACUGGGAGUGCUGCCACCUCGUGGUGCAAGAGUUCUGAGGGACGGCAAUUCUGAAGACAUUGAAUGCCGUUUUGCACACCCUGGUCAGAAUGAAACAUUCCUUGGGAACUCGGGCCGUGAGAAGCAUCCUUCCUGAUCACCUGACUGUAGAAACAUCCUUAUCGCACCCUCCCGGGCAAAGGCCCAACAGCCUGACUGCAGGAACA